CAGCCGCCGCGGGAACACGAAGGGUGCAAGCGUUACUCGGAAUUACUGGGCGUAAAGCGUGCGUAGGUGGUGGUUUAAGUCCGUUGUGAAAGCCCUGGGCUCAACCUGGGAAUUGCAGUGGAUACUGGGUCACUAGAGUGUGGUAGAGGAUAGUGGAAUUUCCGGUGUAGCAGUGAAAUGCGUAGAGAUCGGAAGGAACAUCUGUGGCGAAGGCGACUAUCUGGGCCAACACUGACACUGAGGCACGAAAGCGUGGGGAGCAAACAGGAUUAGAUACCCGCGUAGUCCCUGUCUUUUAUAC
rnacentral:rRNA from 1 species